UGGGGAAUUUUGGACAAUGGGCGAAAGCCUGAUCCAGCAAUGCCGCGUGUGUGAAGAAGGCCUUCGGGUUGUAAAGCACUUUUGUCCGGAAAGAAAUCCUUGGCUCUAAUACAGUCGGGGGAUGACGGUACCGGAAGAAUAAGCACCGGCUAACUACGUGCCAGCAGCCGCGGUAAUACGUAGGGUGCAAGCGUUAAUCGGAAUUACUGGGCGUAAAGCGUGCGCAGGCGGUUUGCUAAGACCGAUGUGAAAUCCCGGGCUCAACCUGGGAACUGCAUUGGUGACUGGCAGGCUAGAGUAUGGCAGAGGGGGGUAGAAUUCCACGUGUAGCAGUGAAAUGCGUAGAGAUGUGGAGGAAUACCGAUGGCGAAGGCAGCCCCCUGGGCCAAUACUGACGCUCAUGCACGAAAGCGUGGGGAGCAAACAGGAUUAGAUACCCUGGUAGUCCACGCCCUAAACGAUGUCAACUAGUUGUUGGGGAUUCAUUUCCUUAGUAACGUAGCUAACGCGUGAAGUUGACCGCCUGGGGAGUACGGUCGCAAGAUUAAAACUCAAAUGAAUUGAC
rnacentral:rRNA from 1 species